rnacentral:rRNA from 1 species
GGAUUGCCUUAGUAACGGCGAGUGAAGCGGCAAAAGCUCAAAUUUGAAAUCUGGUACCUUCGGUGCCCGAGUUGUAAUUUGGAGAGGGCAACUUUGGGGCCGUUCCUUGUCUAUGUUCCUUGGAACAGGACGUCAUAGAGGGUGAGAAUCCCGUGUGGCGAGGAGUGCGGUUCUUUGUAAAGUGCCUUCGAAGAGUCGAGUUGUUUGGGAAUGCAGCUCUAAGUGGGUGGUAAAUUCCAUCUAAAGCUAAAUAUUGGCGAGAGACCGAUAGCGAACAAGUACAGUGAUGGAAAGAUGAAAAGAACUUUGAAAAGAGAGUGAAAAAGUACGUGAAAUUGUUGAAAGGGAAGGGCAUUUGAUCAGACAUGGUGUUUUGUGCCCUCUGCUCCUUGUGGGUAGGGGAAUCUCGCAUUUCACUGGGCCAGCAUCAGUUUUGGUGGCAGGAUAAAUCCAUAGGAAUGUAGCUUGCCUCGGUAAGUAUUAUAGCCUGUGGGAAUACUGCCAGCUGGGACUGAGGACUGCGACGUAAGUCAAGGAUGCU